UACGGGGGGAGCAAGCGUUGUUCGGAUUUACUGGGCGUAAAGGGCGCGUAGGCGGCCACCGCAAGUCGACUGUGAAAUCUCCGGGCUUAACCCGGAAAGGUCAGCCGAUACUGCGGGGCUAGAGUGCAGAAGGGGCAACUGGAAUUCUCGGUGUAGCGGUGAAAUGCGUAGAUAUCGAGAGGAACACCUGCGGCGAAGGCGGGUUGCUGGGCUGACACUGACGCUGAUGCGCGAAAGCUAGGGGAGCGAACGGG
rnacentral:rRNA from 1 species